CCUACGGGAGGCAGCAGUAAGGAAUAUUGGACAAUGCCCGCAAGGGUGAUCCAGCCAUGCCGCGUGCAGGAAGAAGGCGCUAUGCGUCGUAAACUGCUUUUACACCGGAGAAAACCUCCCCUCGUGAGGGGAGCUGAUAGUAUGGUGAGAAUAAGCAUCGGCUAACUUCGUGCCAGCAGCCGCGGUAAGACGAAGGAUGCAAGCGUUAUCCGGAUUCAUUGGGUUUAAAGGGAGCGUAGGCGGCCCUGUAAGUCAGUGGUGAAAUCUCUCGGCUUAACCGAGAAAUUGCCAUUGAUACUGCAGGGCUUGAGUACAGUUGCUGUGGGCGGAAUAUGACAUGUAGUGGUGAAAUACAUAGAGAUGUCAUAGAACACCGAUUGCGAAGGCAGCUCACAAAACUGUAACUGACGCUGAGGCUCGAAAGUGCGGGGAUCAAACAGGAUUAGAUACCCUGGUAGUCCGCACUGUAAACGAUGAUUACUCGCUGCUGGGAGGUAACUUUCAGUGGCUUAGCGAAAGCGAUAAGAAUCCACCUGGGAGUACGCCGGCAACGGUGAAACGUCAAAUGAAUUGACGG
rnacentral:rRNA from 1 species